CCUACGGGAGGCUGCAGUGGGGAAUAUUGCACAAUGGGGGAAACCCUGAUGCAGCAACGCCGCGUGAGUGAAGCAGUAUUUCGGUAUGUAAAGCUCUAUCAGCAGGGAAGAAGAUGACGGUACCUGAUUAAGAAGCUCUGGCUAAAUAAGCGCCAGCAGCCGCGGUAACACGUAGGGGGCAAGCGUUAUUCGGAUUUACUGGGUGUAAAGGGAGCGCAGAUGGCAGUGCAAGGCUGGAGUGAAAGCACGGGGUUCAACCCCUGAACUGCACUGGAAACUGGGCGGCUGGAGUACAGGAGGGGCAGGCGGAAUUCCUGGUGUAGCGGUGAAAUGCGUAGAUAUUAGGAGGAACACCAGUGGCGAAGGCGGCCUGCUGGACAGUAACUGACGCUGAGGCUCGAAAGCGUGGGGAGCAAACAGGAUUAGAUACCCUGGUAGUC
rnacentral:rRNA from 1 species